UACAGAGGGUGCGAGCGUUGUCCGGAAUCACUGGGCGUAAAGGGCGCGUAGGCGGUCUCUUAAGCGUGUGGUGAAAGCCCGGGGCUCAACUCCGGGUCGGCCGUGCGAACUGGGGGACUGGAGCUUGUCAGAGGCAGGCGGAAUUCCGGGUGUAGCGGUGGAAUGCGUAGAGAUCCGGAAGAACACCGGUGGCGAAAGCGCUCUACUGGGCCUGCACUGACACUGAGGGACGAAAGCUAGGGGAGCGAAAGGG
rnacentral:rRNA from 1 species